ACAAAAGAUGUCCAAGAUAUAAAAUUGCCCACAACACAAACUUAUGCGCUGGACUAUGCCAUUUACGCUGGAUAAUGCUACUUAUUUCUAACACAAAAAGGAUUGAAGUCAGAACCAAUGCCGGAGAACGUGCAACAAAAGAUAGUUAUCUACGCAGACCUUCUAAUAAAAUAAAGACAAAAUUAAAACCUGCCGCUGUCGAAUAGAAACUAUCCGUCUGCUUAAUGAUUGAAGAUUUUUGAUGUGGUAACGCGGCUUUCCAUGGUUGGUGUGUGAGAACCUCUAUCUUUCCUUUUCAUUUGCGGCUACAAGACCUAUCACAUUAAUGUGCUGGACUGUGCCACUUAUGCUGGAUAAUGACACUUAUUCCCCGUCACAAAAAGAAUUGAAAUGAGAAACAAUGCAAGGCAAAGAAAAAGCUAAUCAUGAGCGGCAAAAAUGGCAUUCGCUCACACGGUGCGGUUCUUCCCUAAAAUUAUUAACGCAGACCUUCCAACAAAAGAAAAGCAGAAUCGCAAAUAACAGUUGUUGUCAAUUAGCUAGCGGAUAACGAAACCUCGAAAUCAGUCUGCUACCGUUUGGAGCACCGUCCCCAUUUCCAUAAUGGGGUGUUCGUAGACAUAUUUGUAAUGGUCGUUGGUAACUUUUCGUUGGUAUCGAAGUAUUCAACUAUAAAAACAUAUAGAAUCCGAAGCAAUGUCAAACAAGAGGGAACUAUCUAUUUUUACUUUAAUAUCUGUUUGCCAAAAUUCUUCUUUUCAGCGCUAAAAAGAAGCAAUUUUGCAACGUCGUCCGGCACUUUGAUUCGGAACUUCAGUCGGACAGCAACAACAUGAUAAGAGUCCCCCGUUCCUUGGCAAUCUAAUGUAGCACAUUUUUAUCCCAUUAUCUUCAAAUUAGACGUAGAUAUUUUGUCUUUUAGUUUUUUUCCCUGUUAGA
rnacentral:sRNA from 1 species